UACAGAGGUCCCAAGCGUUGUUCGGAUUCACUGGGCGUAAAGGGUGCGUAGGUGGUGAGGUAAGUCGGAUGUGAAAUCUCCGAGCUCAACUCGGAAAUGGCAUUGGAAACUACCUUGCUCGAGGGUUGGAAGGGGGACUGGAAUGCUUGGUGUAGCAGUGAAAUGCGUAGAUAUCAAGCGGAACACCAGUGGCGAAGGCGAGUCCCUGGACAACUCCUGACACUGAGGCACGAAAGCUAGGGGAGCAAACAGG
rnacentral:rRNA from 1 species